rnacentral:rRNA from 1 species
GACGAACGCUGGCGGCGUGCUUAACACAUGCAAGUCGAACGGUAAGGCCCUUCGGGGUAUACGAGUGGCGAACGGGUGAGUAACACGUGGGUGAUCUGCCCUGCACUUUGGGAUAAGCCUGGGAAACUGGGUCUAAUACCGAAUAUGAUCAUCGGCUUCAUGGUCGGUGGUGGAAAGCUUUUGCGGUGUGGGAUGGGCCCGCGGCCUAUCAGCUUGUUGGUGGGGUAAUGGCCUACCAAGGCGACGACGGGUAGCCGGCCUGAGAGGGUGACCGGCCACACUGGGACUGAGAUACGGCCCAGACUCCUACGGGAGGCAGCAGUGGGGAAUAUUGCACAAUGGGCGCAAGCCUGAUGCAGCGACGCCGCGUGAGGGAUGACGGCCUUCGGGUUGUAAACCUCUUUCAGCACAGACGAAGCGCAAGUGACGGUAUGUGCAGAAGAAGGACCGGCCAACUACGUGCCAGCCGCCGCGGUAA